UCCUACUGAUGUGGUACUCUACUGAAUCUCCUUAAAGGUGCUUAUACAAUGGGCUCUGGGUUUGAUUCUCUAAUCAAAUCUAGUUCUAUGUGUCCACUUGAUUGUGCUGGUUAUUCUAUCUGUCGAACUUCAUCAAGCUUGAUCCUAGUGGCAUUAGCUCCUUCACUAAGAAACUUUUUUAAAAAGACUAUCCUAGGGCUGACGAACACCUUUUAUUCUUCAGCAAGGUAGAAAUAAUAUCU
rnacentral:lncRNA from 1 species